GACGAACGCUGGCGGCGUGCUUAACACAUGCAAGUCGAGCGGGUAAGGCCCUUUCGGGGGUACGACGAGCGGCGAACGGGUGAGUAACACGUGGGUGACCUGCCCUCAGCUCUGGGAGUAAGCCUGGGAAACCGGGUCUAAUACCGGAUAUGACUCCGCGGUGCAUGCUGUGGGGUGGAAAGCCUUGUGCGGCUGGAGAUGGGCCCGC
rnacentral:rRNA from 1 species